GAACGUGGAGAUAGCUGGUUCUCCCCGAAAUAGCUUUAGGGCUAGCCUCAGGCGAAUCACCAUAGAGACGGUAGAGCACUGAUCGGGCAAGGGGGCGUAAAGCCUACCGACCCCAGUCAAACUACGAAUGGCUCAUAUGGGCAGCCUGGGAGUCAGAAUGCGAGUGAUAAGACCCGUAUUCAAGAGGGAAACAGCCCAGACCGCCGGCUAAGGUCCCAAAUGCUGUGCUAAGUGGAAAAGGAUGUAGGACUUCGAAAACAACCAGGAUGUUGGCUCAGAAGCAGCCACCAUUAAAAGAGUGCGUAAUAGCUCACUGGUCGAGAGGCCCUGCGCCGAAAAUAUCCGGGGCUAAAGCACAGAACCGAAGCCGCGGCAGGGGUGCACAUGUUCACAGAGCGCUCAAAGCGCAGGAAAAAUUGGUAUCUGCAAGGAAACGGAGAGCGUCGUAGCAGCGCUACGGCAAACGACGUUGACACAGCAGAGAGCGAUUUUAACAAGCUUUUUGAACGUUGUGUGGAUGUGUGCAUCACUGGGUAGGGGAGCGUUCUUAUCUGGACGAAGGCAGACCGGAAGGACUGCUGGACGGGUAAGAAGUGAGAAUGCCGGUAUGAGUAGCGAAACGACAGGUGAGAAUCCUGUCCACCGAAAGCCUAAGGGAUCCUGGGCAACGCUCGUCGCCCCAGGGUAAGUCGGGACCUAAGCCGAGGCGAAAAGCAUAGGCGAUGGACAACUGGCGAAAAUUCCAGUACCGGGCGUCUUCGUUUAAGGAUGGAGUGACGCAGGAAGGAAGCUGAGCGCGCGAAUGGUUGGGCGCGUCGAAGGCGGUAGGCUUGUAUGGAGGCAAAUCCCCAUACUAUAAGGCCGAGAACCGAUAGAUAGGAAAGACUACGGUCAAUCUGAAUUCAGCUGCACUACACUGCCAAGAAAAGCUUCUAACGAGAAGACGUCCGCCCGUACCAAAACCGACACAGGUAGGCGGGGAGAGAAUCCUAAGGUGCGCGGGAAAACCCUCGUUAAGGAACUCGGCAAAAUGCAUCCGUAACUUCGGGAAAAGGAUGGCCGUAGCUGGUGAAGCUUUUUACAAGUGGAGCUGGAGACGGCGGCAGAAAAGAGGCCCAAGCGACUGUUUACCACAAACACAGGUGCCUGCGAAAGCGCAAGCUGAAGUAUAGGUGCUGACGCCUGCCCGGUGCAGGAAGGUUAAGGAGAGUUGUUAGUCCUCGAGAUGAAGCAGCGAACUGAAGCCCCUGUAAACGGCGGCCGUAACUAUAACGGUCCUAAGGUAGCGAAAUUCCUUGUCGGGUAAGUUCCGACCCGCACGAAAGGCGUAACGAUUUGGGCACUGUCUCAACGAGGGACCCGGUGAAAUUGAAAUACCUGUGAAGAUGCAGGUUACCCGCGACUGGACAGAAAGACCCCAUGGAGCUUUACUGCAGCUUGGCAUUGGUCUUUGGCAUAUGACGUACAGGAUAGCCGGGAGACUGGGAGGAUAGAUCGCUAGAUUUAUCGGAGUCACCGUUGGGAUACCGGCCUUCAUAUGCGAAGGAUCUAACCGGAAUGUUAACAGCAUUCGGGACAGUACCAGGCGGGCAGUUUGACUGGGGCGGUCGCCUCCGAAAGAGCAACGGAGGCGUCCAAAGGUUCCCUCAGCGCGGACAGAAAUCGCGCGCAGAGCAUAAAGGCACAAGGGAGCUUGACUGCGAGACUGACGGGUCGAGCAGGUACGAAAGUAGGGCUUAGUGAUCCGGUGGAAAGAGAGUGGAAUUGCCAUCGCUCAACGGAUAAAAGCUACCCUGGGGAUAACAGGCUAAUCUCUCCCAAGAGUCCAUAUCGACGGGGAGGUUUGGCACCUCGAUGUCGGCUCAUCACAUCCUGGGGCUGAAGCAGGUCCCAAGGGUUGGGCUGUUCGCCCAUUAAAGUGGUACGUGAGCUGGGUUCAGAACGUCGUGAGACAGUUCGGUCCAUAUCCAUCGCGGGCGUAAGAUACAUGAGGGAGGCUGCUCCUAGUACGAGAGGACCGGAGUGGACGGACCAACGGUGUACCAGUUGUCCUGCCAAGGGCAUGGCUGGGUAGCUGCGUCCGGAAGGGAUAAACGCUGAAAGCAUCUAAGCGUGAAGCCCGUCCCGAGAUGAAGUAUCUCAUUCCUAAAAGGAAGUAAGACCCCUUGA
rnacentral:rRNA from 1 species